rnacentral:misc_RNA from 1 species
CCGAGCUAGAGUGUGUCAGAGGGAGGUGGAAUUCCGUGUAGCAGUGAAAUGCGUAGAUAUGCGGAGAGACACCGAUGGCGAAGGCAGCCUCCUGGGAUAACACUGACGCUCAUACACGAAAGCGUGGGAGCAAACGGGAUUAGAUACCCUGGUAGUCCACGCCUAAACGAUGUCAACUAGCUGUUGGGGCCUUCGGGCCUUGGUAAGCGCAGCUAACGCUGAUGAAGUUGACCGCCUGGGAAAUACAGUCGCAAGAUUAAAACUCAAAGGAAUUGACGGGGACCCGCACAAGCGGUGGAUGAUGUGGAUUAAUUCGAUGCAACGCGAAAAACCUUACCUACCCUUGACAUGUCUGGAAUCCCGAAGAGAUUUGGGAGUGCUCGCAAAGGAGCCGGAACACAGGUGCUGCAUGGCUGUCGUCAGCUCGUGUCGUGAGAUGUUGGGUUAAGUCCGCAACGAGCGCAACCCUUGUCAUUAGUUGCUGCGAGGCACUCUAAUGAGACUGCCGGUGACAAACCGGAGGAAGGUGGGGAUGACGUCAAGUCCUCAUGGCCCUUAUGGGUAAGGGCUUCACACGUCAUACAAUGGUCAGGACAGAGGUCGCCAACCCGCGAGGGGAGCCAAUCCCAGAAACCCGAUCGUAGUCGGAUCACAGUCUGCAGCUCGACUGCGUGAAGUCGGAAUCGCUAGUAAUCGCGGAUCAGCAUGUCGCGGUGAAUACGUUCCCGGGUCUUGUACACACCGCCCGUCACACCAUGGGAAUUAGGUUUACCGUGCUUCCUAACCGUAGGGAGGGCGAUUACCACGGUAGGAUUCAUGACUGGGGUGAAGUCGUAACAAGGUAA